GACAUACUUCCUCUGUCCAGAAAUACUUGUCAUCAAAAUGGAUAAAAAAAGAUCUAUCUAGAACUAAAAUACAUCUAGAUACAUCCUCUUUUAUCCAUUUUGAUGACAAGUAUUUUCAGACGGAAGGAGUAGUUU
rfam:Triticum aestivum genome assembly, contig: Triticum_aestivum_CS42_TGACv1_scaffold_404549_5BL